UAGCUCAGUGGUUUAGAGCAGUCGCCCGGCAAGCGAAAGACCCGGGUUCGAUUCCCGG
rnacentral:tRNA from 1 species